UCUUCCCUACCUUUCUCUCCUUCUCCAUCAAAAUAGAGUGCAUCGGUGAUUAGAACUGAAUUCAUCCUCUUGUUUUCCUUCCCAAGAACACAGCAAGGAUUUGGGAGAGAUCAUUGCUGUUGUUCCUUUCCUGUAACAGGAGUGAUGAUCAUCCUGCUGCGAUAGAAGCCACUCCGAUCAGCAGCAAUGCGAGUCGAUUGUCCUGCCAUAUCAUGUCGUCAUCGCCACCGUUCUUGUACAGCAUGUGAUCAUCUCGAAGGUCGAAUUAUCUAUGUCGUCUCUAUGAACGUGCUGCUAGCAUCGAUCCCAGUGGCCACGUUGACGCUGCCGCUGGCUCUCAACAAACAGCAAGGUCGACCCUCUCUCUCUAUGUGUGAUUCAUAUCAGCCCUGUCUUGAUCUUCUCUCAUCACAGAACUUUGAGGAUGCACUCAUGAUCAUCUCCGGCGCCAAGAUGUAGCUGUAGUACCCCUGCUGUUACACAUAAGCAGCAGCCCUGCAUCUACCUUUCAUUGUCACUGCCACUGAUAGUUUCCUCCUUGCCACCACGAAAGUCCAAUGUGAGGAAUCAACAUCCUUUGUAUCUUUUAUGUUGAUCCCAAUUGCAAUACACGCACCCUAGUUCAUAUUUGAUAGAAUUCCGGCAAAGUAUCACUGCAAUUGUGUUGCUGUCCAUUUUGGACAGCAGUGCUGCUGCCGGUUACCGUUCACAUUCCCAGUGAUCCAUGCCUCUAGUCAUCAAACCUUUUGAUCAUGAUAUAGAUCUUGAUGUUUUACACACCUCUACAAAUCAGUUUGGUCAUAGGAGCCAUGGUGCCGGAGUUAUUGAUAUCGUUGUGCUUGCUGCUCCUGCAUCUAUGCAGCAGCACCCUUGCCGAUUGGCAUGCAUAUUCUGGACAAUCCACAAAUCCAUUUGACAAUCCCUUGGAUCCACAAAUGUAUCACAUAUUUGCCCACGUCUCUGUAAAUUUUCAUGCCCAUAGAAUCUAAGAUGAAAGGGAUAUUCACUUCUUCUUAUGCUCACUGUCCCUGCUGCCCUGCAGCAGCAUUCCUGCCGGUUGGCAUGCAUGUUCCCAUUAUUCCCUCGCUCCACUGACCAUGUUGUUCGACCACAGUGUGUUUUAUAUCCUUGCACACACACCUAAGAAAUUUCAUGGCAAUAGGAUUCAAGAUAAAAGAGAUAUCAUUUUUCUUGUGCUCGCUGUCUUUGCUGCCCUGCAGCCGCGCUGCAGCCGAUUGGCGAGUACGUUCCCGAAAAUCCACUACUACGUUUGUCAAA